rnacentral:lncRNA from 1 species
AAAUAGCUGAAAAACAUCACAUUCCAAGGAUUUCAUUCCAUGGUUUUUGUUGUUUCACCCUCCAUUGCAUGUUCAAGGUACACACUUCAAAUAUUCUUGAAAGCAUCAAUUCAGAGACAGAGUUUUUCUCUAUUCCUGGCAUACCUGACAAAAUUCAAGUCACAAAAGAACAGAUACCAGGAACAGUGAAAGAGGAAAAGAUGAAGGGGUUUGCUGAGAAAAUGCAAGAAGCUGAAAUGAAAUCAUAUGGUGUAAUCAUAAACAGUUUUGAGGAGUUAGAGAAAGAAUAUGUUAAUGAUUACAAAAAGGUAAGAAAUGAUAAGGUUUGGUGUGUUGGUCCUGUUGCACUUUGCAACAAAGAUGGUUUAGAUAAGGCUCAAAGAGGUAACAUAGCUUCAAUAAGUGAACAUAAUUGUUUAAACUUUCUAGAUUUGCAUAAACCAAAAUCUGUUGUUUAUGUUUGUCUUGGAAGUUUAUGCAAUUUAAUUCCUUCACAACUUAUUGAAUUGGCUUUGGGAUUAGAAGCAACAAAAAUUCCAUUUAUUUGGGUUAUUAGGGAAGGAAUUUAUAAAAGUGAAGAGUUGGAAAAAUGGAUUAGUGAUGAAAAGUUUGAGGAAAGGAAUAAAGGGAGAGGACUUAUAAUUAGAGGGUGGGCCCCACAAAUGGUGAUAUUAUCACAUUCUUCAAUUGGUGGAUUUUUGACUCAUUGUGGUUGGAAUUCAACACUUGAAGGGAUAAGUUUUGGUGUACCAAUGGUAACUUGGCCAUUAUUUGCUGACCAAUUUUUGAAUGAGAAACUUGUUACUCAAGUUUUGAGGAUUGGAGUGAGUCUUGGUGUUGAAUUUCCAUUGAAUUGGGGAGAGGAAGAGAAAUUAGGGGUGGUUGUGAAGAAGGAAGUUAUUAAAGAGGCAAUAUGCAAUGUGAUGAAUGAGGAAGUUGAAGAGAGUAAAGAGAGAAGAGAAAGGGCUAAUGAACUUAGUGAGAUUGCAAAAAAAGCUGUUGAAAAAGGUGGAUCUUCUUAUCUUAAUAUCACUUUGCUUAUUCAAGAUAUCAUGCAACAACAAUCAAACAUCAAAGUUGAAACUUGAAGAGAUAUGUAAUUUUAUAACAUAAUUUGUCAUGUUUUUCUUCUUCUUUCUAUCAUUGCAUAUUCUACAUUGCAAAGCAUGAAGUUAUGCAACAUGCAUGAAGAGGUAUUGAAUCAAUAUAAUAAUUAGUACUUCUAUAUUAUAAGAAGAGGGUACUAUAUGUUCUCACUUCAUUUUGUUUAUAUGUUGAAGAUUGUCUAAUGACAAGCUGUCAUUUUGUUUGUAUCACUUAAUUCAUUCUGGUCACCUUAUCUUCAGAAAACACUCUUGUGUGAGGUAGGAAGUUUUAAGCAUACAAAAUGUUGUUUAAACAUUAAAAUACAAAUAUGAGAUUUUUUUAUCUCUUUUAUUUAUUUUUUAUUUACAAUCUAUGUACUCAAAAAUAUAUAUAUAAAUAACCUUAUAAUUAACAUCAAAAUUGUGUUGUCAGAGAAUCAUUUCUCUUAAGCAUAUAUGACAAUUUUGAAUGGCAAAAGGUUAUACUAAGAACUCAUAAAGAACAAGCCAACAAAAGAAGACUACAAACAAAAUUAACAAAAAGUAGAGGCCACAAAAUGAAGUACGUACAUGCCUAAAGAACACCCAACCAAAACAAGCUAUCAUCAAUAAAAAGCAACCUUGUAUUUAUUUUGGAUUUAUGUAAGAGUAAGGAUCGGCUCCAUGUGUGGAAUAUGAGCCUACAUUGUACGGUGAUUCAAAAAAUAUAUUAUUUUAAUCAUGAGUAAACUCAUGGUUGGGUUUGAGCAAAAUUUGGAUUUAGACACAGUCACAAAUGAUAAAAGUACAAGAAAAAAUAGUAAAUUUUUAUUAUUUUUUGACAGAAUAUUUUAUACUUAUUUUUAUUGAUAUAAUAAUAUUUCAUUUUCUACUUUUUUUUAUUUUUAAUCUUUUAUGUGUGCGCUUAAAUUCAAAAUAUUUGUAUAUGUGACCGCACAAGCUUUGCUUGGUCGGAUGGUUUAACAAAUUAAUUAAUUUAUUUUUGUUGUUAAUGCUUAACAAUUUAACUUGACCAGAAAAUUGAAUCAAGAUUGAACUAAAGGUUAGCCACCUACAAUUUUUUUCUUCAAAUCCAACUCUAAUCCAUUAUAGAUCAACUAAUUUGAGCUAAAGAUUAAGAAAUUAAAUGUCUUGACAAUAAGAAUAAACUAACAUAACAAUUAAUAUAAUAACAUCUACCAUUAAAAAAAAAAAGGUUAAUGACACAUUUGCUCUUGCUUUUAUGUUUUUAUGGCAUCAUUUUUUUCUUGUUACGCUAGGGUUUCAUUUGUCUGGAUUCUAAAAUCCAAACCGUAUGUGAACUUUCUAAAUGAUUUUUUUCCUUGACUUCUCAUGUUUUCUCUAUGUUCUAGGAAUGGAGAGAAACGAUGGCCGUAUUUGGGGAACUAGUGACAUGCCAUGCCGUUUUUUUCAAUCGAAACUAUGAAAUAUUGAAAUAUCCUUUUUGUUACUAAACUAUGAAAUAUUAGAGACUUGCGUAUCUAAUAUCUUAAUCAUUGGCUAGUAAUUUAUCCAAUUUUGUUUAAAAUAAUAAAAAAAGAUAAAUUUCUUAAACAAAUAUGGAUCUCAAAAAGAUAUUCAAAGGUCUAUCCUCACUAUUUUUAGUAAAAUAGUUUGGUUUGUAAAAUAAACAUGAAAAGGGAUGUGAGAUUUUACUAAAAAAUAUGGUAGAGUUCACAUUCGAGAACAAUGAUUUAUUUGCGAAUUACAAGUUUGGUGUCAUAUUUUAAGUAGUUAGACGCACAUUCAAUCUCCAUCUCAUUUGCCAUUAUUUCAGCACUAACGAAACCAAAUUUUCUAUAUUUUUGCAAGUAAGCAACAAAAAAAAAUUCUAAUUGUAUAGCCACAUCAAUGUGCAUCUCUUUUUUUUGUAAAAAAAUUAUAAUUUCAUUUACCUCAUGUAACAAGUCAAACGAGAUAACCAUAGCUAGUCUAAGCCUAGCAUUAUGUUUUCAUUGGAGCCUCGCUAGCCAAAAUUAUGUAUAUUAAUUACUAGUAUAUUAGUAAAAAAGAAAUUUUGGUAAAACUUUGUGCUCCAAGCCGCCCCUGAUUUAGACAUGAAAUUGUGUUUUUUUCACGAGAAAAUGGGUUUAAGACAAGUGUGGUUUUUAUAAAAACAUGCAAUAAAACGUAGCACCAAUUAAGGGAGAGUCGUAUACUCAAUAAAUUACUUUUAAUAUAUCAUCCUAAAAAAGACAGAGCACUCACUUUGGGCUCCAUUGGAUACUAUAAGCACCUCACAAUUGGUGUUCAAAGAACAUUGGAACAAUAUAUAUUCAUUGUCCUUGCAUGGCCCCUUGGUUUGGCCUGCACAAAUUUCAUUUGUCUUCUUUGUAAAUGUGUAAAGCAUAGACAACAACGCAUAUAUUGAAAUACUCCCUCCCUCAAUCUCCUUGGUGAUAAAUAUCUAGUAAAAUGUUAACAAGUGCUUUUAGGACAUUGUUUAGUAACUUUAAAUAGUAAGUUUUAGUCAAAGUUUAUGAAAUCAAUGUAUUGAAAAUUAAAAUUUUUAAAGAAUAAUUUCUUUAUUAAAAAUCUUUAAUGAGUGUCCUUAUGACACUUGUUAACAAGACUCAAAUAUCUAUUCAUUUUACUUAUUAUUAAUUGCCCCAGCCGACUACUUUGUUUAUCACAACAAACUCCUCCAUAUACAAGAAAACAUAGAGUUAUGAGAGCAUAAUUAUCAUUCUGGAAUUAUUACAUGUUUUGAUUAUAUAAAAAGAUUAUAAAGAUUGCUUCAAAAUAGAAAAAGAAAAUAUUAUUAAAAAAAUUACGUUGACCCAUAACAAAAAGUAAUUAUUUCUUAUUUUUCAUUUUUUUAAUUGUAUUUCUAUUUUAUUUUACAUUGUAAAGUUUAUAUAAUAUAACCAUAUGUAAAUGACAAAUUAAUUAUUUUCUUAUGUGGCACCAUGUCAGCAAAAAAUGCCCACGUGACAAUAGCAUGAGACUAGAAAGUGUAAACUAAAAAAUUUAGAAUGACGCAAAGUUUUAUAGAAGUUAAAAUCAAAAAAUUCAAAAAUGGAUCAAAAACAUGUUGAACCUUUAAAUUUACAAUAAAAUACACCUCCAAUUUUGCAUCGAAACUCUGCUUGGUUGCUACUACUUGCUAGCUAGAUCGAUAGUUAAAGAAUGAAAUGAAAAAGACAAGGCUUAAUAUAUCAUUUGUCCCUUAAUUUAUUUUUGGUUUUAAUUUUGGUUCCUAACUAUAAAGUGUUUCAAUUUGGUCCCAUAAGUCUUCAUAUGUUUACUAUUGUGGUUCUCUCCGUUAAUUUUUUAAUGUCUAAAGUUUUUUAUAUGAUUUUAACCAUUUGAUUGCAUGUCCAUUAUAUUUAAUAGUGAACCGUCGGCACCUAAUUUUUUUCACUUUUCAUAAUCUUCUCUCUUCUCCUUCCUCAUAUCUUCAUCUUCUGCAUUCCUCUUUUUCAUUAUCUUCAACAUCAACUUCAUCAAUCUUUAUACAAAUUCCAGAAAUCAUCAACAACAAUCAAUAACAAAACUAUCAUCAUCAUCAUCUCUACGGUGUGCAAGUUUAAGAACUAAACCAAAUUGAAACCAAAUUUUUAGUUCGGUUCAAUUUAUAUAACCUCUUACUGCAAAAACGAUUUUUUUUUUCUUCUGGAAUUCUGGUUCGGUUUGGUUCAAAAUCGAUUCAAUACCAAUUUUUAUAUUCUGAACCGGUUUUUUUUCCAUAAAACUAGUUUUCACAAACACAUUUUACAUUGGAGAAACUCAGAGAUACAAAAUCUAAAGAGGAUCGCAUGAGAGUUGCUCAAUGUUUUGGAUAUGUACCCAAAUCUAGAUAUUUCCAACUCAAUCAUCUCGGAAUCCAUCAUCUAUACUUGAGAUCUUGUAUAUAUGUUUCAAGAUGUGGCCGUUACACACUUUCUCUCAUUAAUUUCAAUUUUUUCUCCUUGUUUAAUGAUUUUUUUAUUUUAUUAAUUUGGUUGAUAAUUUGAUGCCAUCGUAAUUCUUUCUCUCCCUCUUGAUUUCAUGAUUCACUUUUUAUUUGCUUAUUAAAAAAAAAAAGACAUUUGAGAUUAUUAAAAUGGGAAUUGUCGAUUUGGAGGUGCUAGAGAUUUUAGAAUUUUCAAAUUAAAAAAAAAAUAAAAAAAAAACUGAAAGAAAUAAAGGAAGAGGACGUGUUACUGAUCUGGGUGUGUUUGAGGAAUUAAAGUUUAUGUUGUUCAUGGGUUGAUGAAUUUAUGGUCAUUAGUUUAGUUGCUAUUGUUGAUGGUGGUGGAGGUGUAGUGAUGAGAUGAUGAUAUUAUUGAUGAAUUUAUGGAUUUUUUUAUGAAGCUUGAUGAAAGUGAUAAGAAGAUGAAGAAUGGGAUAUAAAGUUAGCCGUUGUUGACUCACAGUAAGAUAAAAUAGACUUGCGCAAUCCAAUGACACUCCUUUAAAUAAAAAAGAUCAAACGAUUUAAAUUUAAAAAUUUAAUAAAGUCUAUGGUAUAACACCUACAAAGUUAGUCCACCUUAGACAUUUAAGAUUAAAAACUAACAGAAAUGACCACAUUACUAAACGGAAGAAUACUUAUGGGACCAAAUUAAGACACUUUAUAGUUAGGGGACCAAAAUUAAAACAAAAAAUAAGUUAAGAGACCAAAUGAUAUAUUAAACCAAAAGACAAAUGGUAAAACAAACUUUAUUCAAAUAAUCCAACUUUUACCUAGGUAAGCGCUUACAUCACCUUAAAAAGCUCUUUCUGAACUACAUAUUUGUCUUAUUUUUUUUUUAAUAAAAUACUCCACACUUGCCUCUUUUUUCGAGGGACAUACUUGUCUCUUGUUUUUGGUAAAGUAGUAUCGUGGGUGAGGUUCACACAUUUAAAACGUGGAAAAAUUGAAAAUUUGUGAUUGAAACAUUGUUAGUCUCUGUAUUAAUAUUCACAGUUAUCAACUGAGUUGUGUUUACGAGACAUACUUAUCUUUUACUUAGCUGUAUUAUCUCAUUUUGUCUUAAAUGACCUAUUUGAAUCUUAAAAAAGUUAAAGUAGUAACUCUGUAUUUUUGUCAAACUUAAAGGACCAAACGAGAUAUCUAACCUAUAUUUUUUUUUAGGGAAUCCUACAUAUUUUAUUUAGAAAGUUAUAUUCAAGGACAAAGUUAGUAUAUAAAUAUGUGCAACUUUAGUUGAAUUCAUUGUACACCAAACAUAGAAAUACAACAUCCGAUCCUUAAUCGUUCCAAAAAAAGAAACAUAUGGCAUCCCAAGAUCCAAAGCUCCACUUUGUGUUGUUUCCAAUGAUGGCACAAGGUCACAUGAUCCCAAUGAUGGACAUAGCCAAAAUAUUGGCACAACAUCACAAUGUUAUGGUUACAAUAGUAACAACCCCACACAAUGCAUCUCGUUACACAUCAAUCCUAGCACGUUAUCUUGAAUCUGGCCUUCAUAUUCAAUUAGUUCAACUUAAAUUUCCAUUUAAAGAGUCUGGAUUACCAGAAGGGUGUGAGAAUCUUGACAUGCUACCUUCACUUGGUGCAGCCACAAAUUUCUUCAAUUCAUCAAAAUUUCUACAACAAGAAGUUGAAAAGUUGUUUGAAGAGUUAACACCAUCACCAACUUGCAUUAUCUCUGAUAUGUGUUUGCCAUAUACAGUUCACAUAGCUAGAAAGUUCAAUAUUCCAAGAAUUUCUUUUGGUGGAAUAAAUUGCUUAUAUCUUUUGUGUUUGCAUAAUUUACAUGUCAAUAAUAUUAUGCAAACCAUGGCUAAUAAUGAAUUUGAAUACUUUGAUGUGCCUGGUAUUCCUGACAAAAUUGAAAUAAACAUAGCACAGACAGGACUAGGAUUAAAGGGUGAAGCUUGGGAACAGUUUAAUAGUGAUUUGGCAGAAGCUGAAAUGGGUACUUAUGGUGUAAUCAUGAAUUCUUUUGAAGAGUUAGAGCCAGCAUAUGCAAGGGAAUUUAAAAAGGUAAAAAAUGACAAAGUUUGGUGCAUUGGUCCUGUAUCACUUAGUAACACUGAUUACUUGGAUAAGAUUCAAAGAGGUAAUAAUAAUAAGGUUUCAAUUGAUGAAUGGGAGCAUUUGAAGUGGCUUGAUUCUCAGAAACAAGGGAGUGUUCUCUAUGCAUGCCUUGGAAGUUUAUGCAAUAUAACACCAUUACAGUUGAUAGAACUUGGUUUAGCAUUAGAAGCAACAAAAAUACCUUUUAUUUGGGUUUUAAGAGAAGGAAAUGAAUUAGAAGAAUUGAAAAAAUGGAUUGAGGAAAGUGGAUUUGAGGAAAGAAUCAAUGGUAGAGGCCUAGUGAUUAAAGGUUGGGCUCCUCAGUUAUUGAUAUUGUCGCAUCUUGCAAUUGGAGGAUUCUUAACACAUUGUGGUUGGAAUUCUACUCUUGAAGCAAUAUGUGCUGGUGUACCAAUGGUUACAUGGCCACUUUUUGCAGACCAAUUUUUGAAUGAAUGUUUAGUUGUGCAAAUAUUAAAAGUUGGUGUGAAAAUUGGGGUGAAGAGUCCUAUGAAAUGGGGUGAAGAAGAGGAUGGUGUGUUGGUGAAGAAGGAAGAUAUUGAAAGAGGAAUAGAGAAGUUAAUGGAUGAGACAAGUGAAUGUAAAGAAAGAAGAAAAAGGAUUAGAGAGCUUGCUGAGAUGGCUAAAAAGGCUGUAGAAAAAGGUGGAUCUUCUCACUCUAAUAUUUCUUUGUUCAUCCAAGAUAUCAUGAAGAAAAAUAAAGAUAUGAUGUCAUCAUUUACCAAUGGAAAUGCCAAUUCAAAAUGAAAAUGCAUGUAUCACUUUCAGUCUUUAGGCAAAGUGGCAAGAACUACUUGAAAAUCAUUUAUUAUGUCUGAUUUUUUUUUGUUACUAUUAUGUUUGAUUGGUGUAUUGUUUCCUUUAUUAAAAGGAUUUUUUUUUCUUCUCUAAAUCAAUUUUCUAACUCAUUUAAAAGUAUUUGUAAUGGGGAAAUGAUAUUCAUAGAGAACCAAUACAAUACGAAGAUAUCACGACAGAGGAGGUAUGAUUUCCACUCAUCACCAUUUAUUGUGUUCCAAUUUUUACUCCCAACCUACCGUGAUAGCCGCUUCACCUUGAAUUUUCAUAUUGGUUCGGGAACAAUUUUGAGAUAAAUUGUUUCGUGAUGUAUAGCAUUGUUGUUUAUAAUGCACCGACUUAUGUUGUUUUUUCACUUGCAAUUAAUUAUAUUUCAUCAUAAAAGGUUUUUAGAUAUGUUUUUUUGUAAGGGUUUUAAAAUUUGACAUGACAAAAUGAUAUUAUAGCAAAAAAAUAAUAAUUUAAGAAGCUAAAUUAGCCCACCCAAAUUGACACCGGAGAUAAUCGAAUCUGAGACCUUGAGAAGGAGCACACUCUUAAAUCCCAAGCCAGUAUCACUAGGCCAACCAAAGUGGAUUAUAUUAUAGCAAAAAAAAAAAAUUAAUUAAUUUUUUUUUGAAGAAGCUAAAUUAGCCCACCUAAAUUGACACAGAGAGAAGCGAACCUGAGACCUUGAGGAGGAGCACACUCCUAAAUCCCAAGUCAAUACCACUAGGCCAACCCAAGUAUGGGUUAUGUUAUAGCAAAAUUAUUUAAAAAAAAAAAAAAUAGAAAAAGGGAAUUAGGAUUAUCAAAGACACCUUCAAAAUCUUAUAUCGAGACACUCAUAAUUUUCACGUACAAUAGAUCUCGAUUUAAAGACCAUUCAAAUACAAACAUUUUUCUUUUUAUCCAUUUUAAAAUAAUUUAUUUUUCUUUUCAUGAAUAAUUUGUGUUAUAUUUUAAUUCAAUUAAUUUCUUAAAAUUAGUUUAUUAAUUUCCAUAAUGUUAAGGAGGUUCCUCUAAAAAGAAAUGACUAUUUUGCUAUAAUAAACCAGUAUAGGGGCUAGCUACUCUGGUAUUUAAGGAGGUGCGUAAUAAAUUACUUCUCAGAUAUCAUCCUAAAAGCCAUUGGUGUUCAAAAAACGAUGGAACAAUAUACAUAUAUAUCGUCGUCAACCUUACUAAAUUUGAAUCUGCUAAAAACAAAAUUAAAAUUAAAAUGAAAACCUUACUUGUCAUGUAUUAAGAUUUAUUCCUUAAAAUAAUGUAUUAAACUUGGUUUGGCCUGCACAAACUUGUGUUGUCUUCUUCAUAAAACACAAGGCCAAUGUGAUAUAUUGUGGUGAGGAGGGAGUAUCAUCUUCAUAAAACAAAGUGAUAGUAUACAGUUGAAACACACUUCAAUUCUACUCUAACACCCAAAAAUACAUACACUGCUCCUUAAUUUUCCAUCAUCGUUUUGCAAGCAAACCUUAAUGUUCCACACUUUGUGUUGCUUCCCUUAAUAGCAAAAGCCCACAUUAUCCCCAUAAUAGACAUAGCAAAACUCUUAGCACAACGUGGUGUUACUGUUACCAUAUUCACUACACCAAAAAAUGCUUCACGUUUUACUUCAGUUCUUUCUCGUGCUGUUUCUUCUGGCCUUCAAAUCAAAAUUGUAACCCUAAAUUUUUCAUCAAAACAAGUUGGAUUACCAGAUGGUUGCGAGAAUUUCGACAUGGUGAACAUUUCAAAAGACAUGAAUAUGAUGUACAAUCUAAAAGGAAGGUGAAGAUUUGUUUGAUAAAUUGUCGCCAAAACCAAGUUGCAUUAUCUCUGAUUUUUGCAUAACUUGGACUUCUCAAAUAGCUGAGAAACAUCACAUUCCAAGGAUUUCAUUCCAUGGUUUUUGUUGUUUCACCCUCCAUUGCAUGUUCAAGGUACACACUUCAAAUAUUCUUGAAAACAUCAAUUCAGAGACAGAGUUUUUCUCUAUUCCUGGCAUACCUGACAAAAUUCAAGUCACAAAAGAACAGAUAACAGGAACAGUGAAAGAGGAAAAGAUGAAG